AUGGUAGCAGAAGGUGACCUAAGCAUUGAGGAACUGUGCCAUGGAACCUACACUGGGUCUGGAACGGAUUUACCCUAUGAAUCCUUUUGGCUUCCAUUUGUACCUGAAAGAAGCAUUCCACCUCAUGAUCCUGCUCCUGAUGAAUCUUUGUGGGUUCACUUUGAACCUGAAGCAGCUGGUUCACCUCAUCUACCUUCUUUUGCUCCUCCACGUGAUGGAUCUUUUUGGGGGCGCAUUGGACACCAACUAGUCGAAACACCACCUGCUCAUGCUCGUGACAGUGGUGGAAGAGAAUAUUUUCAGCCUCAAUUUGUACCCAAGGGAGCUGCUGCACCUUGUCCUGAAAUUGAUGGUA